GAUGAAGAACGCAGCGAAAUGUGAUAAGUAAUGUGAAUUGCAGAAUUCAGUGAAUCAUCGAAUCUUUGAACGCACAUUGCGCCCCCUGGUAUUCCGGGGGGCAUGCCUGUUCGAGCGUCAUUUCACCACUCAAGCCUCGCUUGGUAUUGGGCAACGCGGUCCGCCGCGUGCCUCAAAUCGACCGGCUGGGUCUUCUGUCCCCUAAGCGUUGUGGAAACUUUCGCUAAAGGGUGUUCGGGAGGCUACGCCGUAAAACAACCCCAUUUCUAAGGUUGACCUCGGAUCAGGUAGGGAUACCCGCUGAACUUAAGCAUAUCAAUAAGCGGAGGA
rnacentral:misc_RNA from 1 species